ACCAGGUGUGGCCUAAUGGUUAGCGCAUUGGACUUGUAAUCCAAAGGUUGUGGGUUUGAGUCUCAGGUCUGGUA